GACGAACGCUGGCGGCGUGCCUAAUACAUGCAAGUCGAGCGGACAGACGGGAGCUUGCUCCCUGAUGUUAGCGGCGGAUGGGUGAGUAACACGUGGGUACCUGCCUGUAAGACUGGGAUAACUCCGGGAAACCGGGGCUAAUACCGGAUGGUUGUCUGAACCGCAUGGUUCAGACAUAAAAGGUGGCUUCGGCUACCACUUACAGAUGGACCCGCGGCGCAUUAGCUAGUUGGUGAGGUAACGGCUCACCAAGGCAACGAUGCGUAGCCGACCUGAGAGGGUGAUCGGCCACACUGGGACUGAGACACGGCCCAGACUCCUACGGGAGGCAGCAGUAGGGAAUCUUCCGCAAUGGACGAAAGUCUGACGGAGCAACGCCGCGUGAGUGAUGAAGGUUUUCGGAUCGUAAAGCUCUGUUGUUAGGGAAGAACAAGUGCCGUUCAAAUAGGGCGGCACCUUGACGGUACCUAACCAGAAAGCCACGGCUAACUACGUG
rnacentral:rRNA from 1 species